rnacentral:rRNA from 1 species
GAAUUCACUAGUGAUUCAGGCCUAACACAUGCAAGUCGAGCGAUGAUUAAAGAUAGCUUGCUAUUUUUAUGAAGAGCGGCGAACGGGUGAGUAACGCGUGGGAAAUCUGCCGAGUAGCGGGGGACAACGUUUGGAAACGAACGCUAAUACCGCAUAACAAUGGGAAUCGCAUGAUUCUUAUUUAAAAGAAGCAAUUGCUUCACUACUUGAUGAUCCCGCGUUGUAUUAGCUAGUUGGUAGUGUAAAGGACUACCAAGGCGAUGAUACAUAGCCGACCUGAGAGGGUGAUCGGCCACACUGGGACUGAGACACGGCCCAGACUCCUACGGGAGGCAGCAGUAGGGAAUCUUCGGCAAUGGGGGCAACCCUGACCGAGCAAAGGCGCGUGAGUGAAGAAGGUUUUCGGAUCGUAAAACUCAGUGGUUAGAGAAGAACGUUAAGUAGAGUGGAAAAUUACUUAAGUGACGG